rnacentral:rRNA from 1 species
AUUGAACGCUGGCGGAAUGCUUUACACAUGCAAGUCGAGCGGCAGCGCGGGGGCAACCCUGGCGGCGAGCGGCGAACGGGUGAGUAAUACAUCGGAACGUGUCCUUCAAGUGGGGGAUAGCUCGGCGAAAGCCGGAUUAAUACCGCAUAAGCUCUGAGGAGGAAAGCGGGGGGACUGGUAACGGCCUCGCGCUGUUGGAGCGGCCGAUGUCGGAUUAGCUAGUUGGUGGGGUAGAGGCCCACCAAGGCGACGAUCCGUAGCUGGUCUGAGAGGAUGAUCAGCCACACUGGAACUGAGACACGGUCCAGACUCCUACGGGAGGCAGCAGGUGGGGUAAUUUUGGACAAGUGGGGGCAACCCUGAUCCAGCCAUUCCGCGUGAGUGAAGAAGGCCU